rnacentral:miRNA from 1 species
CCCUGCGUGGCUUCUCUGUGCA